rnacentral:lncRNA from 1 species
CUACUGCACAUGCAUGCUUUCAUUAUCUCCUCAUCAUAAUUAUAUUAACUUUCAUAACCAAAUACAUAUUGCAUGGGAUCAAGGCAUGAUUUUAAAAAAAAAAUUAAAAAUUAAAAAAAGAAAUUAAAAAAAAAAAAAGAGGAAAAGGGGGGAAACCGGAUUUUUCCUCCCACACUCCAAAAAAAAAGAGCUUUUUUUGCACAAAGGGUAUUUGGUUCCCCCCAUUUUUC